AGAAAUUGAAAAUGGAUUUACAACAGAAAGGCGUAAAAUUCAUUAUAAAUUUGAUGCGACAGUUCAAAGUUUUGUACUUUCCAGACCUGCACAACGAAUUACCUAUUUGAAAAAUAGAAUAUGGUUAAAAAUUGCUGAUAUGAUAGAGGAUUCAAGUACUAUUUACAAACAAAAUAUUGAAGAGAAUGUGCUCAAAAGGAAAUGCAUAUGAAUUCUUUUUUGUUGACCAGGAUGGAAAAAUUCUUUGGAACCCAUGGUUAGAAUAAGUUAGUUAGGCCUAGAGGUGUAUUAGCCAGAAGUAGAGGAUGACAAAGAAAAUCAACUAUGAAUAAUAUUCCAUGGAUAUGAUUCAUGUAUGAUGUAGUAGCCUACAGAAGAAAGAGAUGGACUAAUCUAAGAAAUAUAUUCAUUUUUUCAGUACAUCUUGAUGUGUUUAUUUCAUCUUAUUCAUAAUAAUAUAUUCUUUUUCUGAUCGCUCCUGCUAACUGCUUCAAUUCAGGUAGUUUUGAAGAAAACAGCAAGUGACAUGAAGCUAAUAAAAUGAGUUUUGAUGGUUUAUACUUGAGGAUUUUUAAAAUUAUAUUCAACCCUACAGCAUCGAACUCUUAUUAACAUGACUUUAUUGGUUCUGUAUGGCUUCUACUUUUUUGGAAAUAAUAACAUUAUUUAACAUUGUUGACUAGCAAAUGCUAGAGGUAACGUGUAGUUAAAUAAUAGACUUUAAUUGGAUAUAAAAUAGGGUAUCACAAUUAUGUAUUGCAUU
rnacentral:lncRNA from 1 species